GACAAGAUAAGCAUGGCUGGGAAGACUGGGAAUCUGAUGGGAUCCAUUAAGAAUGUCUAUGGAUGGGAAAACUCAAUCUCCUUGGUGGUUAAUGGGCAGAGAUGAUCAGCAAAUCAUUGUUUCUGGCUGGUCAUCUUGUUUUUCAACAGUUAGAAGUUGCCUGCAGUGGAAUAAUAGAACAGCAAGGGAAUUUCCAAAUCAUGGUGUGCCUGCUGCUCCCGGAUGUGUGAGCAAGGAAUCAGCUGUGAUGACUACACAGGGAACUUCUGAUGCGAUCGGAACCUUUGUCUUUUGGUGGUGGUGGUGGUGGUGGUGGUUUUUUUUGUUUGUUUGUUUGUUUUUUUGGUCUUUUAAGAGCAUUCAAAAAAUCCUUGGUUUGACUGCUUUAAUGUUCACAUCCUCUCCCUCUGAUGCUGGCUCAGGAUUUGUGUUUUCUCAGGCCGUGGCUCAGAGCAAUAAAGCCUAGGCCACACCCAGGGGUCAAGUGUUCAGGGGUUUUAUAUCCAGUGUAUGGUGUUUCUAGAUUAAAAUAUUUUCACAGGUAAUAUAAUACAGCCUGCCUCUGUGUGAUUGCAUUCAGUUAUUGCCCGGUAAUCCCAUCGGCUAACUUUAUCUGAGAAAUAGGGGCUGCCCACAAAUGCAGCGCCUGUGACUGUCACCCUAUACCAUUCCAUGUGGCCUCAUCUCCAUAUUGUGAGUGACAGAAGGCAGACAGUCUGAUGGAGCAACAUAUCCAACCAGCACGCCCUUGAGAUCCAGGAGACCUCUCAGAGAUUAGUCUCUCCCUGAGUGGUCAUGAAUUUGAUGAGCAGCUGCCACAAACUAGUCUGACACAGUUUCACAAGUCAAGUGGGGAGGGGCCGGUGCUGUGGCGUAGCUGGUUAAGCUGCUGCCUGCAGUUCGUGGCCUGGUUGCUCCGCUUCCUGUCCAGCUCUCUGCUAAUGCGCCUUGGGAAUGUAGCAGAGGAUGGCCCAAGCAGAUGGAAGACUAUUCUCUCCAUCGCUCCUUCUCUCUUUCUGUAACUCUAAUAAAUAAAAUAUUAAAAAAAAGUCA
rnacentral:lncRNA from 1 species